UAAAUCAUUUAACAAUUCAGCUGUUGACAGCAGAGUGGCAAAAGCAGCAAGCUCUGAUCUACUGUCUUUUCAAGCACAUUCAAAGGAGGCACAAGGAAGGGAGAGGUUUUGCUUUCCCUUUGAACUACCGCAGAUAUUCCUUUAAAUCUCAGAAACGGCAUUUGAGCUGAGCGUGCUCAAAGCGCAAUGAUUUAAUCACUGAAAUAUUUGACCGUAUCGCUUGCUGUGCGUUUCCAGCUUGAAGGAGUAGCAGGGAGGCUGGUGAAUAAUUCAAGGAGACACAGAUCCUGCCUUUUCUGGAUGCAAGACGAAGACCAGUAUGUUCAUGAAUAUCAAUCACAGUGCUUACAAGACUUUAGAGCUGCAGUGACAUAGGAGACAGAUUCUACUGUCAAGUUCAGCCUCAUUUUAAGUUUCUAGCCCACAUGACCACAGAAGGAAACAAU
rnacentral:lncRNA from 1 species